GAGCAAUGAGGAGAAUAGCGCUUCCUGUGAUGCCGCGGUGCAUCACAAUCGUCUGAUUAUUAGUUGACCUCAACGCUCCUGAGCAC